rnacentral:rRNA from 1 species
AUCAUUACCGAGUGAGGGCCCUCUGGGUCCAACCUCCCAUCCGUGUCUAUCUGUACCCUGUUGCUUCGGCGUGGCCACGGCCCGCCGGAGACUAACAUUUGAACGCUGUCUGAAGUUUGCAGUCUGAGUUUUUAGUUAAACAAUCGUUAAAACUUUCAACAACGGAUCUCUUGGUUCCGGCAUCGACGAAGAACGCAGCGAAAUGCGAUAAUUAAUGUGAAUUGCAGAAUUCAGUGAAUCAUCGAGUCUUUGAACGCACAUUGCGCCCCCUGGUAUUCCGGGGGGCAUGCCUGUCCGAGCGUCAUUGCUGCCCUCAAGCACGGCUUGUGUGUUGGGCUUCCGUCCCUGGCAACGGGGACGGGCCCAAAAGGCAGUGGCGGCACCAUGUCUGGUCCUCGAGCGUAUGGGGCUUUGUCACCCGCUCCCGUAGGUCCAGCUGGCAGCUAGCCUCGCAACCAAUCUUUUUAACCAGGUUGACCUCGGAUCAGGUAGGGAUACCCGCUGAACUUAAGCAUAUCAAUAAGCGGAGGA